AGAGUUGAUCAUGGCUCAGGAUGAACGCUGGCGGCGUGCCUAACACAUGCAAGUCGAGCGUGAACCCUUAGAAUGAAACUCGGUCGAAUGAAGAGGGGAAAGCGGCGGACGGGUGAGUAACGCGUAGGCAACCUGCCCCGUACAGAGGGAUAGCCUCGGGAAACCGGGAUUAAAACCUCAUAAUACCAUGGUAUCACAUGAUGCAAUGGUCAAAGAUUUAUCGGUAUGGGAUGGGCCUGCGUCUGAUUAGCUGGUUGGUGGGGUAACGGCCUACCAAGGCAACGAUCAGUAGCCGACCUGAGAGGGUAAUCGGCCACAUUGGAACUGAGACACGGUCCAAACUCCUACGGGAGGCAGCAGUGGGGAAUAUUGCACAAUGGGCGAAAGCCCUGAUGCAGCAACGCCGCGUGAGCGAAGAAGGCCUUUGGGUCGUAAAGCUCUGUCGGGAAGGAAGAUAAUGACGGUACUUCCCGAGGAAGCCCCGGCUAACUACGUGCCAGCCGCCGC
rnacentral:rRNA from 1 species